GGAUUGCACAGUGCACAGCUGCACAAGAAAGACCGUCGUGAGGAGGCCCUGUAUUCUGGUCAUGGACUCUCUAAAGCUGUCGUACCACCAGCGGAUCUACACGCUGUUACGCGAGUAUCUGCAGGUGGAAUGGGAGGUUCGGAAAGAAAGCGCUCGAGCUUUUACCAGUGAAAGCAUAGGCGUGAGUCCGUGCAGGGUCCCGCUGCAGGACAACAGCAGCGACUGUGGCCUGUACCUGCUGCAGUAUGUGGAGAGCUUCCUGCAGGUACCUACAUACUGGGUUGAUGCCAAAAUAUUGGCAUUGCCCCGAUACCUUGUGAACCAUGGUGCAUUUUUUACCGGGUCAGAGCUUUUUUUAAUUUCUUCAAUGCUGAAUGUCAGAAACAUUAGUCAUCCAAGUUACCUGACAUUUCGCGGUCUGCCGUUCAGUGGGAUUUUCAGUAAUGCAAGAGAUUUGGAUCUCCGGAACUCAAGUUACACCUGUUUGCUUUGCAGCCUUUAGUUGAAUCCUGGUUUGUAUUAAAGCACAUACUG